AAAACCCUCUAAAUUGUUGUUAAUUCAAUGGAGUUAAACUAAUCCAAAUAAAUUUCAGCGCGCACGCGCCCACGCUCCAUCAAACCCAGUCCCCCCGAUCCCAACAGUCGGAAAACCCAAAAUUCCGAAACCCUAGACUCAGACCUGAAAAAUAUGUACAGAGAAUCCAAAUACACACCAUAGCUAGAGCCUAGAAGAACACAGCUGAGUGAAGAAACAAGGGAAAAGAAAAGGAAGGUUGAAUCGUAAUUUCUUCGAACUAAAUCCUAAAGAGAGAGAAAGAGGAUAUAUCGGAGCAGAAAAAGGAGAAAACUACCCUGGAAUGGCGUCGUCGAAGAUGAUGGCGUCGUCGAAACCGAAAAGUUCGGAUCUGACCUCAUCAUCAUCUUCAUCAGUAACGGCUCGAUCUCGACGUGCUUCUUCUUCGGCUUCUGCUUCUGCUUCUGCAAAACCACUAACUGCUUUUACUUCUUUUUCUUGUUCUUCUAAUCCAACUAGACGCAUCAAUAGUCUGACGUCAACUUCAUCAUCAUCGGCAGCGUCUACGAUGACCGUCGACGGCAUCUUAAGUAAUGUCUACGCCACUCCUUCGGCUGAGUCCACUCUCCUUGAUGCCCAAAUUACUCUCAUGGACACACCUGCUCCGCUCCUCUCGGAAACACCUCCACCGGCGCCGGCCCCGGCUACAAUUGAGACAAACCAUACUAAUAGUAGCAAUAAUCAAGAAAUAAACAGUGUUCUUCCUCAGGCUAGUAAAACCGUGGACGAUGUGUGGCGGGAAAUUGUCGCGGGGAGAAAGGAGAUGAAGGAGGAGCCUGAUGAGAUGAUGACGUUGGAGGAUUUUCUGGUCAAGACUGGGGCAGUAGAGGUUGGGGAGGAGGAUGAAGUCAAGAUGCCACCGCCGGAGAGGUUGAGUGGGGGAGUUUAUGCGUUUGAUCCGGUUCCACCCAGUGCGUUUCAGAUGUUGGAUAAAGUAGAGGGGUCGAUUGUUGGGUUUCCAAAUGAGACUGAGUUGGUUGCUGGAAGAGGUGGAAAUGUUGUAGGCAGGGGAAAGAGAGGUAGGACUCUCGUAAUGGAACCAUUAGAUAAGGCGGCGCAGCAAAGACAGAGGAGGAUGAUCAAGAAUAGGGAGUCAGCUGCCAGGUCUAGAGAGAGGAAGCAGGCUUAUCAGGUGGAAUUGGAGUCCUUGGCAGUGAGGCUAGAGGAGGAGAAUGAGCAGUUGUUGAAAGAGAAGGAAGAGAGGACCAAAGAAAGGUUCAAGCAGGGAAGAUCUAGAUUUGUUUAGCACAAGAGGCCCGACUAAGUUUUGCUGGUGCAGCAUGAAAUUCAUUUAGAUGCCUCUUUCUGGAUGAGUUUCCAUCACAUACUCAGCAUGUUCAGAGAGAAGUCCUGUAGAUAGCCAUCUCAUCUGAAACUUAUGGAGAAAGUGGUGCCUGUUGUUGAGAAGAGAAGACCACCUCGAAGGCUUCGGAGAGUUCACUCCUUGCAGUGGUAGGAAUAUAUAUGCUCGAGGUGUGAGAUGGAAGAUGGAUAUCCUUCACUGACAUGGAGAGUAAAUGAGAAGCAUUAUUCUUAGUAAAACAUUCGUUUUCUUUUUAUUUAGGUAUUUGAACCCGAUUAUUUUCUGAGACCAAUUGUGUUACACGAUAUAGAAGGGGAAAGAGAGUGUGUGUGUGUGGGGGGGGGGGGGGGGGGGUUGGAAUUGCAAUCUGAAUCAUGGAAAGGAGAAUUCCUUUGCUUAACUGAAUUUAGGAAAUAUCUAUAAUGGGAAGAUGGACGGCAGAAGGAUCUAGUUAUUUAUCUAGUUAGCAGGUGUAGAGAAAGGCAUACAUUUGUUCCUUUUCCUCCCAAUUGCUAUUGUGAAGGGGGGAUGGGGGGAUGGAAGGGAUUCUGGACUGUGAUACUGUAUUUAUGUGUUGACAGCUUAUGAUAGCUUAGAAAAUACAGAUUGGUGGAUGGUAAAUAUUUUAAAUUAAAGCUGAUGCUGCAUUAUCUUCCUGGAAA